UUAGAAAUGCAGCAGAGGCUGGCCCUCUGGACAUCGUGAAGCUUCGCAAGGGGGACAAGCUGUUGAACAUUUCGACUAAUUUGCCGGCGAAUACACUCGAUUCCCCUUAUGUUCUCCAGAUCGUCGGAGCGCAUCCGGCUUCGUCGGGUGUGAUCGAGGCGGAAGUUCUGUGGGCUCUCGAGAGACGUGUGGCGGCCUUGGAAACGCAACUUCGGGAGCAUCAAGAAGCUCUGUACGCGUCGCCAUCUUUCGCUCUUCGUGAACUAAAGCGGCAGGUCGACAGUUUCAAGAACAAGUUGGAGCACAACGACCAGCUCAGUUGGCUGAGUUUCUACAAACAGCUUCCAGAGCCCC